GCUACCGGAGACGACAUGGAACCCGAUCCCAGUCCUCACCCUGAAGUAACAGGAAUUUUCCGGUAAGCCCCAGGUUAACAGCCGCUGCCUUACCGAUUUUGUAAGGCAGCGACGCAUU
rfam:Cedecea davisae DSM 4568 genomic scaffold Scaffold0, whole genome shotgun sequence.